rnacentral:rRNA from 1 species
ACCUGAUACUUUAUUACAUUUCUAGUGGCGGACGGGUGAGUAACACGUUGGAACCUGCCCCAAAGUGAGGAAUAAGCCACCGAAAGGUGGUCUAAUACUUCAUAAUAUCCAUCUCGUAUGGAUUAAAGCUUUAUGCGCUUUGGGAGGGGCCUGCGUAACAUUAGCUUGUUGGUGAGGGUAAAAGCUCACCAAGGCUUCGAUGUUUAACUGGUUUGAGAGGAUGACCAGUCACACUGGGACUGAGAUACGGCCCAGACUCCUACGGGAGGCAGCAGUAAGGAAUCUUCCACAAUGGGGCAACCCUGAUGGAGCAAUACCGCGUGCAGGAUGAAGCGUUUCGGCGUGUAAACUGCUUUUAUCACCGAAGAUUAUGACUGUAGGUGAAGAAUAAGGACCGGCUAACUACGUG